GCCGGGCGUGGUGGCGCAUGCCUGUAGUCCCAGCCACUCGGGAGGCUGAGGCAGGAGAAUCACUUGAACCCAGGAGGCAGAGGUUGCAGUGAGCCGAGAUCGCGCCACUGCGCUCCAGCCUGAGUGACAGAGCGAGACUCUGUCUCAA
rnacentral:sRNA from 1 species